rnacentral:rRNA from 1 species
GACGAACGCUGGCGGCGUGCUUAACACAUGCAAGUCGAACGGAAAGGCCCUGCUUUUGUGGGGUGCUCGAGUGGCGAACGGGUGAGUAACACGUGAGUAACCUGCCCUUGACUUUGGGAUAACUUCAGGAAACUGGGGCUAAUACCGGAUAGGAGCUCCUGCUGCAUGGUGGGGGUUGGAAAGUUUAGGCGGUGGGGGAUGGACUCGGGGCUUAUCAGCUUGUUGGUGGGGUAUUGGCUUACCAGGUCUUUGACGGAUAGCCGGCCUGGGAGGUGGACCGGCGACAUUGGGACUGAGAUACGGAGCAGACGCCUACGGGAGGCAGCAGUGGGGAAUAUUGCACAGUGGGCGGGAGCCUGAGGCGGCAACGCCGCGUGCGGGAUGACGGCCUUCGGGGUGUGAACCGCUUUCGCCUGUGACGAAGCGUGAGUGACGGUAAUGGGUAAAGAAGCACCGGCUAACUACGUG